rnacentral:rRNA from 1 species
GGGUCAGUAGGUUGGUCGUGCCACCGGUACGUACUGGUCUCACUGAUUCCUCCUUCCUGAAGAACCGUAAUGCCAUUAAUUUGGUGUUGCGGGGAAACAGGACUGUUACUUUGAAAAUAUUAGAGUGUUUAAAGCAAGCUAACGCUUGAAUACAUAAGCAUGGAAUUAUGAAAUAGGACGAUCGAUCCUAUUUUGUUGGUUUCUAGGAUUGAAGUA